UACGUAGGGGGCAAGCGUUGUCCGGAAUUAUUGGGCGUAAAGAGCGUGUAGGCGGCCAGGUAGGUCGGUUGUGAAAACUGGAGGCUCAACCUCCAGACGUCGACCGAAACCAUCUGGCUAGAGUCCGGAAGAGGAGAGUGGAAUUCCUGGUGUAGCGGUGAAAUGCGCAGAUAUCAGGAAGAACACCCGUGGCGAAAGCGGCUCUCUGGGACGGUACUGACGCUGAGACGCGAAAGCGUGGGGAGCGAACAGG
rnacentral:rRNA from 1 species